AUACAACUUUCAACAACGGAUCUCUUGGCUCUCGCAUUGAUGAAGAACGCAGCGAAAUGCGAUAAGUAAUGUGAAUUGCAGAAUUCAGUGAAUCAUCGAAUUUUUGAACGCACCUUGCGCUCCUUGGUAUUCCGAGGAGCAUGCCUGUUUGAGUGUCA
rnacentral:rRNA from 1 species